rnacentral:rRNA from 1 species
UACGUAGGUGGCAAGCGUUGUCCGGAUUUACUGGGCGUAAAGAGCGCGCAGGCGUCGUCCAAGUCGCGUGUGAAAGCCCCCGGCUCAACUGGGGAGGGUCACGCGAUACUGGUCGACUCGAAGGCAGGAGAGGGUAGUGGAAUUCCCGGUGUAGUGGUGAAAUGCGUAGAUUAUCGGGAGGAACACCAGUGGCGAAGGCGACUACCUGGCCUGUUCUUGACGCUGAGGCGCGAAAGCUAGGGGAGCAAACGGG